rnacentral:sRNA from 1 species
GCCAGGUGCAUGGCACACUCCUGUAAUCCCAGCUGCUCGGGAGGCUGAGGCAGGAGGAUCACAAGUUUGAAGCCAGCCUGGGCAACUUAUGAGACCCUCAGUAACUUAGCGAGAUCCUGUCUCAA